CGGCGCUGGCCGCCGGGCGGCGCCCCGCGCCUCGGCCGCGCUCCUCCCGCGCUGCCCGCUCCCCGCUCGCUCGCGGCCGGACACAGACUGCCUUCAGCUGCCGGCGGAUCGCGCUGGGGCCGCCGCGGCUGCUGCGGAAGCAGGGAAAACCGGAAAACAACAGCCCGGCGGCCCGGCCCCAGCUCAACCCCCGGAGUGCGGAGCCGCCCAGGCACCUGUCCUCGCGUUAGGGGAAAGAACGCUCUACCUCCUGCUGCUGGAGUCACCUGCCUCUGAUGCUGCACUCCUGCCGUCCCAGCCUCUUCUCUUGACCACUUGUUCAGUGUCUCAGCCUCUCUGCCGUCUGGGUGACGGGAGCACCCAGCCAAGACAAUCCGAAUUAAUUUUGCAAGUAAAAUUUCAUCAGACGACCUAUCAAGCGCUUCACUAAAUCAAGACAUAUUACAUCUCGUGUGUGCCCUGGGCCCAUUUAUCAUGAAAGUCAGCCCCCGAAAUGCCAGACGAGCUUAGGCCCGAAAGGAAGAACAUUCUUAUGUGAAGUGAGAGGGGUCUUCCUUGUCUCCAGACCCGUGACCCCAGAGGCCUUUCUCUGCUCUUUUGCCGAGAAGGCAUUGCUGGCGGUACUCGGGAUUCAGGGUUAGAUGGUCUGGGAACAGAACCCCUGCUUUGAUGCUUUCUAGCUCUGCAGCUCUGAGCAAGUUGCUCAACCUUUCUGAGCCUCAGUUUUCUUAACGCAUAAAAUGGAAAUAAUAUCUACCUUAGAGGGCUAUUACGAGAUUAAAUGAGACGAUGGGGCACCUGGGUGGCUCAGUUGGUUAAGCAUCCAACUUCAGCUCAGGUCACGAUCUCGCGGUCCAUGAGUUCGAGCCCCGCGUCGGGCUCUGGGCUGAUGGCUCAGAGCCUGGAGCGUGUUUCCGAUUCUGUGUCUCCCUCUCUCUCUGCCCCUCCCCCGUUCAUGCUCUGUCUCUCUCUGUCUCAAAAAUAAAAAAAUAAACGUUAAAAAAAAAUUAAAAAAA
rnacentral:lncRNA from 1 species